CCCGCUCAGAAACUCAAGGAAUUGACGGGGGCCCGCACAAGCGGUGGAGCAUGUGGUUUAAUUCGAUGAUACGCGAGGAACCUUACCUGGGCUCAAAUGUAUGUUGACGUAUUCUGAAAGGGAUACUUCUUCGGACAAUAUACAAGGUGCUGCAUGGUUGUCGUCAGCUCGUGCCGUGAGGUGUCGGGUUAAGUCCCAUAACGAGCGCAACCCCUAUCAUUAGUUGCCAUCAGGUCAAGCUGGGGACUCUAAUGAAACUGCCUACGCAAGUAGUGAGGAAGGUGGGGAUGACGUCAAAUCAGCACGGCCCUUACGUCCAGGGCUACACACGUGCUACAAUGGCCGGUACAAAGGGCAGCUACCUGGUGACAGGAUGCUAAUCUCAAAAGCCGGUCUCAGUUCGGAUCGGAGUCUGCAACUCGACUCCAUGAAGUUGGAAUCGCUAGUAAUCGUGGAUCAGCAUGCCACGGUGAAUACGUUCCCGGGCCUU
rnacentral:rRNA from 1 species